CGGCUACUAUCAAGGAGCUCUCAUCUUUGAUGGCAGUCUGUAUAAGUAGGUGUCAUAUCCCCUGUGGAAAUUCUGGAAGAUUCUCUGGUCUUGGCUCCAUCCUUGGAUAUUCUGGCUUGGGGCCCGGGGCAUCUGCAGAAGUGAUCCUAUUGUGUUGAAGUAGCUGUGCUUAACACCAUUGUGUGCCAGCGGGAGACAGAAAAUGCAUGUUAUUUUUAGCAAAGUCUAGUGCAAAUGGUGGAUGCUCUUUGGACUCUGCUGGCAGAUUUGAUUCUUAGCUCCUGGAAAGCCAAAUUUAUUUAAAUUGCCAUCCUUGUCUGUCGUCUCAAAGAGUGAAAUGAACUUUUCCAGUUCCUCAAACUGUG
rnacentral:lncRNA from 1 species